GGUCAAACCGAAAGCAAAGGUCAAAAGAAGAAGCAGAAGAAGAGUGGGGCUUCAGUCGAAUCAAGUAGGCCCCUGACUAAUAAGCAAGCCUCACCCCGACGAUAGAGUCCAAGGCUGACAUAUAAUAGGUAUGACUCUUAUAUCCUUCUUUCUGCUCCUUUUACACAGAUCCUCAUGGAGAUCGAAGGGGCAGAAUAUCUACGGUACCCUCCAUCGAUGAAAAUGAGGAACCACGAUCGAAGGA
rnacentral:lncRNA from 1 species